UACGAAGGGGGCUAGCGUUGUUCGGAAUUACUGGGCGUAAAGCGCACGUAGGCGGGUUAUUAAGUCAGGGGUGAAAUCCUGGAGCUCAACUCCAGAACUGCCUUUGAUACUGAGAAGCUUGAGUCCGGGAGAGGUGAGUGGAACUGCGAGUGUAGAGGUGAAAUUCGUAGAUAUUCGCAAGAACACCAGUGGCGAAGGCGGCUCACUGGCCCGGUACUGACGCUGAGGUGCGAAAGCGUGGGGAGCAAACAGG
rnacentral:rRNA from 1 species